UACGAAGGGGGCUAGCGUUGUUCGGAAUUACUGGGCGUAAAGCGCGUGUAGGCGGGUCUUUAAGUCAGGGGUGAAAUGCCAAGGCUCAACCUUGGAACUGCCUUUGAUACUGGAGAUCUGGAGUAUGGAAGAGGUGAGUGGAAUUCCGAGUGUAGAGGUGAAAUUCGUAGAUAUUCGGAGGAACACCAGUGGCGAAGGCGGCUCACUGGUCCAUUACUGACGCUGAGGUGCGAAAGCGUGGGGAGCAAACAGG
rnacentral:rRNA from 1 species